GACGAACGCUGGCGGCGUGCUUAACACAUGCAAGUCGAACGGAAACUCCCUGCUUUUUUGGGGUGCUCGAGUGGCGAACGGGUGAGUAACACGUGAGUAACCUGCCCCUGACUGUGGGAUAACUUCAGGAAACUUGGGCUAAUACCGGAUAGGAGCUCCUGCUGCAUGGUGGGGGUUGGAAAGUUUCGGCGGUUGGUGAUGGACUCGCGGCUUAUCAGCUUGUUGGUGGGGUAGUGGCUUACCAAGGCUUUGCCGGGUAGCCGACCUGAGAGGGUGACCGGCGACAUUGCGACUGAGAUACGGCCCAGACUGGUAUGGGAGGCAGCAGUGGGGAGGAUUGCACAAGGGGCGGGAGCCUGGUGCGGCAACGCCGCGUGCGGGAAGUCGGCAUUGGGGUUGGAAACCGAUUUCGCCUGAGACGAAGCGUGAGUGACGGUACUGGGAGAAGAAGCACCGGCUAACUACGUG
rnacentral:rRNA from 1 species